rnacentral:lncRNA from 1 species
GUGCUCGAUUUAUUAUUUAGUGGUACUCAUAAAAGCAAGUGAGUUGUUCAUCAUAACUUUCAUAGCAAUCUUAGCAGGUAGGAAUGAGGAGGUUAACAGAAUUAUGAUGUAUGAGGAAAGCCAUGGAUAGCAUAAAAUUUAUGGAAUCAGUAUACUCUAAACUAAUGAAAUAUAAUGAAAAUAACAAGAACUAUAGAACAUAUAGUAAACAUGAUCAACUAAGCCAUCAGAUCCAACACAUUAGAUUACAAGAAAGUCAGUUUGUUAAAGUUCCUUGCCACUUUACAACUCAAGUUAUUCACUUCAUGGAACAAUUAGAAAGGCAGUAAGGAAACAAAAUAAAAAGAUUGCAUAUAUAAGAGGCCAAAUAUUAUUUAAUGCCCUCAAAUGAAAAAACUAAACAUGAGGAUGGUUUAAGGACAGGACUGUGUCAAGUACCAUUAUGCAAGUAUGACUCCAAUGAACACAGUAUUAUGUAGGAAUGAUGAAAUGUCAUUUGAAGGAUAGGCUGCAAAGUAAUAUCAAAGCAGCUAAACUGAUGACUGCCCUAGCAUGAAAAUAUUAUAAAAAAUAAUAAUAGAAUUCAUUGGAAUGAAGCCAAAGUAAUAAGUACUUGUAAAACUUAGAAGUUGCAAUUAAAGAAAUAAUGGAAAUCACGAAAAGAAAACAUAAAGGCAAUAUAAUUAAUGAUAGACCAACAAAAGAAUUUUACAGUGCAUGGAUCUACACAACAAAAAAUUAUUGAAUCAAUUUUAG